rnacentral:lncRNA from 1 species
CUCUAUGUUACAAAGGGAUCUCACAUGCCCAUUGUAGAGAAGGGAAUCAGAAGACCUGGAUCAGCAGGCAGCUUGGAGACUUUUUUUUUGUUUAUGAGAAAGGUAUGUGGUUUAUCUUCUAGCGUACUACUAGCUGUGUUUUCAGGAUAAUAUUUUUGGUGUCGAAAAAGUGCUUCCUGCCUGGCAUUGCACUUGCACUGUUGCCAUUUGUGUUUUGCUGCAGUUGAAACAUGGUGUGACUUGGUCUAGUUCCCAGCUCCUGGAGACCACAGGAAGCACAGACAGGUACCUGCUUGAUUCUCCACGGCUGCAGACAUUCCCCAGGGUGCAUCAGGUGGACUCUGAUCCUUCUGAGGUCUUGGACUGCACUGAGCAACCUGGGGAUGCCCCGGAGCCUUUAACUCGUUACCACCCCUCACAAGUUCACCUCACCACACGCGACUAUGUGAAGCCCCAAGCUGAGGCUGCCAGCAGCUGUAAGCAAUAUGGUCUGCGUCGUUGCUCAUGGCAGGAACUUUGAGCUGGGACACAGUUUCACUCCGUAGAUGUAUUUCUCCUCUGAGGGAAGCCUAACACCCGAGCUGACCUUGCCCCCUUCUGAAAGGGAGGACCAUAUCUCACAGUGGCAACAGGAGGCUACAGGUCAGUGGGGUGAUGACCGGGCCCUCAGAGACCCUGCUCUCUCUCUUUACAAAACCCCAUAAAUCCUUCCAAAGGGAGUAAUUCCCUCAGGAUCAAGAGAGUCCUCCACAUUCCUAAAAUCAGUGAAGGCAAAAUGUACA